rnacentral:rRNA from 1 species
GAUGAACGCUGGCGGCGUGCCUAGUACAUGCAAGUCGAGCGAACGGGCGAGAAGCUUGCUUCUCUGAUGUUGGCGGCGGACGGGUGAGUAACACGUGGAUAACCUACCUAUAAGACUGGGAUAACUUCGGGAAACCGGAGCUAAUACCGGAUGAUAUUUUGAACCGCAUGGUUCAAAAGUGAAAGACGGUCUUGCUGUCACUUAUAGAUGGAUCCGCGCUGCAUUAGCUAGUUGGUAAGGUAACGGCUUACCAAGGCAACGAUGCAUAGCCGACCUGAGAGGGUGAUCGGCCACACUGGAACUGAGACACGGUCCAGACUCCUACGGGAGGCAGCAGUAGGGAAUCUUCCGCAAUGGGCGAAAGCCUGACGGAGCAACGCCGCGUGAGUGAUGAAGGUCUUCGGAUCGUAAAACUCUGUUAUUAGGGAAGAACAUAUGUGUAAGUAACUGUGCACAUCUUGACGGUACCUAAUCAGAAAGCCACGGCUAACUACGUG